GGGGUUGUGGCUCAAUUGGUAGAGUGCUCACCUAGCAUGUGUGAGGCACUGUGUUCGAUCCUCAGCACCA
rnacentral:tRNA from 1 species